UACGUCAUCUGACGUUGACGCAGGUCCAUAACGCAGGUUGACGUGUCUUUUUAUUGCUUUUUAACCUUUUUAACUUUGUUCGAAAAUUUAACCUCGAUGUUUGUAUUUGCAAUAUUUACCUCGUUUUUCUAAAUAUGACUUAUUUAAAAUCAUGGGAAGAAUUUGAAAAAGCUGCUGAAAAAUUAUAUCUCCAGGAGCCAUCUAAAAUCCGAUAUAGUAUGAAGUAUGUUCAUUCAAGAAAUCAGUUAAUUUUGAAAAUGACCGAUAAUUCUGUGUGUCUACAGUUCAAAACAGAAGUAGCACCAGAUUUAAGAAAAAUAGACAAAUUUAUUAACAACUUGGUGCGACAGAUGGUCUCAAAGGAAUCAUAAUUUAAAAUAAAUUAUAUUAAGUUUUGAGAAUGUUUACUCACUCUCGUUAUUUAAAUUUAUUACAUAUAAAUAUUGAAAAUCAAAAUACGAUUGAAUUAAAUCUUAUAUACCCAAUAAUUCUAUUUUAAUUUUAAGAUAUCGAAUAGAUAGACCCUCCUAAAUUAUCUAUAACUAUCAGAGGAGAAAAUAUAUAGUCUGUCCAAAGAGUCAGGGAAGAUUUCAACAGACAAGCUCCA